AGUGAAGAAAGAGACUCUGAGGGUGAGGACGUGUGGAAACGAAAGAGGGAGGAGGUGACAGGAAAGAGAAAGAGUGAGAGAUCAUGGGAACACGUGUCAAGCUGGUGCUUUCCAUCACACACACGCUGUGAAGAAAUCAAACUUCAAUGCUUUAAUGAAGAAGGGCAGAGGAGCUUUUAAAUAAAGUGAGAGGUCAUGUACCAUGUGGUCGACCUUGCUGACGCUGAAGAGGUUUCUGUGUAAAAAUUAUGGCCGUGCACAGGGGGGUGGCCCGGUGGCUAGAGCAACUGCCCCUCUGCCCUAAUCAGCUGAGGAGCCCCUCUCACCAACCGCCAACCCGGGUCAAAGUGUUCUGUUACCGCUCGUCUAAAGAUCCACCUUUUCUGGUAAUCCACUUCGUGAUUUCCCGCCCGCUACGCAGCAUCUCUCACAAUCUGUGUCCACUCUUUGAAGGGUGGAGACGACAGUUUGUUGUAUUAACAGGACAUUGAGACAAACAGACCAGUUCCGGCUGCCGUGGAGGUCAACACACCACUGAUCUACUGGCUGCCCUUCAACGUGAUGCCCAGCCGAUGCCUUACCACCGACGGAACCCGGAACUUUUGCUACUUAUAUUAUGCAGUGAAGGAGUGAUUCCCCAACAUCGAGGUGGCAGAGAUCCGGGACCUUCUACACUCUAAAAAAACAAACGGUGC